rnacentral:rRNA from 1 species
AGGGUUUGAUCCUGGCUCAGGAUGAACGCUAGCUACAGGCUUAACACAUGCAAGUCGAGGGGAAACGAUAUUGGAAGCUUGCUUCCGAUAGGCGUCGACCGGCGCACGGGUGAGUAACGCGUAUCCAACCUGCCCACCACUUGGGGAUAACCUUGCGAAAGUAAGACUAAUACCCAAUGAUAUCUCUAGAAGGCAUCUGAAAGAGAUUAAAGAUUUAUCGGUGAUGGAUGGGGAUGCGUCUGAUUAGCUUGUUGGCGGGGUAACGGCCCACCAAGGCGACGAUCAGUAGGGGUUCUGAGAGGAAGGUCCCCCACAUUGGAACUGAGACACGGUCCAA